UACGGAGGGGGCGAGCGUUGUUCGGAAUCAUUGGGCGUAAAGGGCGCGUAGGCGGCCUGCUAAGUCGGAUGUGAAAUCCCUCGGCUCAACCGAGGAACUGCAUCCGAUACUGGCGGGCUUGAAUCCGGGAGAGGGAUGUGGAAUUCCAGGUGUAGCGGUGAAAUGCGUAGAUAUCUGGAGGAACACCGGUGGCGAAGGCGGCAUCCUGGACCGGUAUUGACGCUGAGGCGCGAAAGCUAGGGGAGCAAACGGGG
rnacentral:rRNA from 1 species